rnacentral:rRNA from 1 species
GAUGAACGCUAGCUACAGGCUUAACACAUGCAAGUCGAGGGGCAGCAUGCAGGUAGCUUGCUAUCUGUGAUGGCGACCGGCGCACGGGUGAGUAACGCGUAUCCAACCUUCCCCGUAGUAGGGCACAGCCCGGCGAAAGUCGGAUUAAUUCCCUAUGUUCUUGACAGCAGACAUCUAACGUCAAGCAAAGAUUCAUCGCUAUGGGAUGGGGAUGCGUCUGAUUAGGUUGUCGGCGGGGUAACGGCCCACCGAGCCUGCGAUCAGUAGCCGGCCUGAGAGGGUGAACGGCCACAUUGGGACUGAGACACGGCCCAAACUCC